rnacentral:rRNA from 1 species
AGAGAGAGACAUGCGCGCAUAUCAAUAAGCGGAGGAAAAGAAACUAACAAGGAUUCCCUUAGUAACGGCGAGUGAAGCGGGAAGAGCUCAAAUUUGAAAUCUUCAAGGUUUUACCUUGACGAAUUGUAGUUUAAAGAAGUGUUUUCUGUUGGUGUUUUGGUAAAAGUUCUUUGGAAUAGGACAUCAUAGAGGGUGAGAAUCCCGUAUUUGGUCAUUCCUCCUAGCGUUGUGAUACACUUUCAACGAGUCGGAUUGUUUGGGAAUGCAGUCCAAAAUGGGUGGUAAAUUUCAUCUAAAGCUAAAUAUUGGCGAGAGACCGAUAGCGAACAAGUACCGUGAGGGAAAGAUGAAAAGAACUUUGAAAAGAGAGUUAAACAGUACGUGAAAUUGUCAAAAGGGAAGCGUUUGACACCAGUGUUGUUUUUCCGAAAAUCAAUUACGAAUGUUUUGUUUUUGAGGAGUUAUGACUUCAUCGGCUUGCUCCUUUCUUUACGAAACUUUCUUAAUGCACUUUUCGGUUAACAAGUCAACAUCAAUUUCUUUUGUUGUAAAAGGGUAUGAGGAAGGUGGCUUUCUUUUCGGAGAAAGUGUUUAUAGCCUUGUACCUCUGCAAUCGGAGAGAUUGAGGUCUGCAGCGUAGAUCCUUCGGGGUUAGAUACAUUUGUGCUAAGUUAUAGCUUUUCAUAGACAACUUGUUGACUAUGUUUAGUCUUGUAGCUUACUCGCUUACGCUAUUUUACCUACGCUUAGGAUGUUGAUAGUCACAGCGUGUAC